CAAUAGCGUAUAUUUAAGUUGUUGCAGUUAAAAAGCUCGUAGUUGGAUUUCGGGUUGGCUUCAGCGGUCCCGCUUUGCGUUUGUACUGCCGCAGCCUUCCUUCUUGCUGGGGACGGUCCUCCGGGCUUCAUUGCUUGGGGUCUGGAAUCAGCGACGUUACUUUGAGUAAAUUAGAGUGUUCAAAGCAAGCCUACGCUCUGAAUAUAAUAGCAUGGGAUAACACGACAGGACUCUGGCCUAUCGUGUUGGUCUGUAGGACCAGAGUAAUGAUUAAGAGGGACAGUCGGGGGCAUUCGUAUUCCGUUGUCAGAGGUGAAAUUCUUGGAUUUACGGAAGACGAACAUCUGCGAAAGCAUUUGCCAAGGAUGUUUUCAUUGA
rnacentral:rRNA from 1 species